CCUACGGGAGGCAGCAGAGGGGAAUAUUGGGCAAUGGAGGAAACUCUGCCCCAGCAACGCCGCGUGAAUGAUGAAGGUCUUCGGAUUGUAAAGGUCUUUUCUAAGGGAAGAAGAAAGUGACGGUACCUUAGGAAUAAGCCUCGGCUAACUACGUGCCAGCAGGCGCGGUAAUACGUAGGAGGCAAGCGUUAUCCGGAAUGACUGGGCGUAAAGGGUGCGUAGGUGGUUUGAUAAGUUGGUAGCGAAACUACGAGGCUCAACCUCGGCACUACUACCAAAACUGUCGGACGUGAGUGCAGGAGGGGCAACUGGAAUUCCUAGUGUAGCGGUGGCAUGCGUAGAUAUUAGGAGGAACACCAGUGGCGAAGGCGAGUUGCUGGACUGUAACUGCCACUGAGGCACGAAAGCGUGGGGAGCAAACAGGAUUAGAUACCCGGGUAGUC
rnacentral:rRNA from 1 species